rnacentral:rRNA from 1 species
UACGUAGGGCGCGAGCGUUGUCCGGAAUUAUUGGGCGUAAAGGGUGCGUAGGCGGUUUGGUAAGUCUUAUGUGAAAUCUAUGGGCUCAACUCAUAGACUGCAUGAGAAACUGCCGGGCUUGAGUAUGGGAGAGGUGAGUGGAAUUCCUGGUGUAGCGGUGAAAUGCGUAGAUAUCAGGAGGAACACCUGUGGCGAAAGCGGCUCACUGGACCAUAACUGACGCUGAUGCACGAAAGCUAGGGGGAGCAAACAGG